rnacentral:lncRNA from 1 species
GAACACCUGGAUAAAGAAAAUGUGGCACAUACACAGCAUGGAAUACUAUGCAGCCAUAAAUAAGGAUGAAUUCAUGUCCUUUGCAGGGACAUGGAUGAAGCUGGAAAACAUCAUUCUCAGCAAACUAAGCUAUUCACAGAUCAUCAUCAGCCAGAGGUGACUUCUGUUGCUUGCAGCUCAGAAUCCUAGAUGUUUCCGGUGGCACUGAAGAGCCUCUGCUGAAGCUCUAUACCAUUUGCCAUUUACAAAGGGAAAUGAAAUAAUAACGCUGACCAUUUGUGGAGCACAUUCUGUCUGGAGGCAAAGGAUGCCAAGAUGGGAAAGCCACAUAAUGGAAGGAUCCUGGAUUUCAGAGCUGUCACUUGGAGGAGGGGCACCCAGUGAAGGUGUCUUAUCUAACCCACACCAUAUCUUCAUGAAGUGGCCAUAUGGAUUUGAUCCCUAUCCUUCAGAGGUGCUCAGCCUAAGGGAACACGGAUAGUAGAUUAAGCACUGACCAGGGGUAUAAAUCCUGCCUUCUCUCAGCCUUACAGAGGAAGAAAACCCUUUCCAAGUUUCCUCUGAUACUGGGUUUAUGCCCAAUUAUAGUUUAGGCAUGAAGAAACUGAAGCAUGGAGGAAAAACUUAGCAACUAGCCCAACGUCACACAGGCAAGCCAGCCUUGACAAUGUGCUGAUGGCAACCUAGAACAUAAGCAGAGGAGUAUACAGGACAAGAACUUGAUGGUCUCGGGAA